UACGUAUGGUGCAAGCGUUAUCCGGAAUGACUGGGUGUAAAGGGAGCGUAGACGGUUGUACAAGUCUGAUGUGAAAGCCCACGGCUCAACUGUGGGAGUGCAUUGGAAACUGUAGAACUAGAGUAUCGGAGAGGCAAGUGGAAUUCCUAGUGUAGCGGUGAAAUGCGUAGAUAUUAGGAGGAACACCAGUGGCGAAGGCGGCCUGCUGGACCGCGACUGACGUUGAGGCUCGAAAGCGUGGGGAGCAAACAGG
rnacentral:rRNA from 1 species